GGCGAACGGGUGAGUAACACAUAAGCAACCUGCCUACAAAGACUGGGAUAAUCUCUGGAAACGGGGACUAAGACCGGAUAGGUAAUAGGACCACAUGAUCUNAUUAUUAAAGGUGAGAAACACUAGUAGAUGGGCUUAUGGCGCAUUAGUUAGUUGGUAAGGUAACGGCCUACCAAGACGAUGAUGCGUAGCCGGGCUGAGAGGCUGAACGGCCACAUUGGGACUGAGACACGGCCCAGACUCCUACGGGAGGCAGCAGUAGGGAAUUUUCGGCAAUGGGGGAAACCCUGACCGAGCAACGCCGCGUGAGUGAUGAAAGUCUUCGGAUUGUAAAGCUCUGUUAUAAGGGAAGAACGUCCCGGAUAGUCUCCGGGAGUGACGGUACCUUAUCAGAAAGCUACGGCUAACUACGUGCCAGCAGCCGCGGUAAUACGUAGGUAGCGAGCGUUAUCCGGAAUUAUUGGGCGUAAAGGGUGCGUAGGCGGCUUGUUAAGUUUAAGGUGAAAGCGUGGGGCUCAACCCCAUAAAGCCUUAGAUACUGACGAGCUAGAGUACUGGAGAGGGUAGUGGAAUUCCAUGUGUAGCGGUAAAAUGCGUAGAUAUAUGGAGGAACACCGGUGGCGAAGGCGGCUACCUAGACAGAGACUGACGCUGAUGCACGAAAGCGUGGGGAGCAAAUAGGAUUAGAUACCCUAGUAGUCCACGCUGUAAACGAUGAAUACUAGGUAUCGGGGCAACUCGGUGCCGCAGUUAACACGAUAAGUAUUCCGCCUGUGGAGUAUGCACGCAAGUGUGAAACAUAAAGGAAUUGACGGGGGCCCGCACAAGCGGUGGAGUAUGUGGUUUAAUUCGACGCAACGCGAAGAACCUUACCAGGCCUUGACAUCCCUCGCAAAACUAUGGAGACAUAGCAGAGGUUAUCGAGGAGACAGGUGGUGCAUGGUUGUCGUCAGCUCGUGUCGUGAGAUGUUGGGUUAAGUCCCGCAACGAGCGCAACCCUUGCCUUCAGUUACUAACAUUCAGUUGAGGACUCUGAAGGGACUGCCGGUGAUAA
rnacentral:rRNA from 1 species